rnacentral:tRNA from 1 species
GUGUAACUCAAAGGUAGAGUGCUUGCUUAGCAUGUGAGAAGCUCUGGGUUCAAUUCCCAGUAC